rnacentral:rRNA from 1 species
AGGACGAACGCUGGCGGCGUGCUUAACACAUGCAAGUCGAGCGGAAAGGCCCUUCGGGGUACUCGAGCGGCGAACGGGUGAGUAACACGUGAGCAACCUGCCCUUAGCUCUGGGAUAGCUCCCGGAAACGGGAAUUAAUACCGGAUAUGACCCUGACCGACAUCUGUCAGGGUGGAAAGGUUUACCGGCUGAGGAUGGACUCGCGGCCUAUCAGCUAGUUGGUGGGUAACGGCCUACCAAGGCGACGACGGGUAGCCGGCCUGAGAGGGCGACCGGCCACACUGGGACUGAGACACGGCCCAGACUCCUACGGGAGGCAGCAGUGGGGAAUAUUGCGCAAUGGGCGAAAGCCUGACGCAGCGACGCCGCGUGGGGGAUGAAGGCCUUCGGGUUGUAAACCCCUUUCAGCAGGGACGAAGCGAAAGUGACGGUACCUGCAGAAGAAGCGCCGGCUAACUACGUGCCAGCAGCCGC